AUUGAACGCUGGCGGCAGGCUUAACACAUGCAAGUCGAGCGAGCGGCGGACGGGUGAGUAAUGUCUGGGAAACUGCCUGAUGGAGGGGGAUAACUACUGGAAACGGUAGCUAAUACCGCAUACCAUCAGAUGUGCCCAGAUGGGAUUAGCUAGUAGGUGGGGUAAUGGCUAACCUAGGCGACGAUCCCGAGCUGGUCUGAGAGGAUGACCAGCCACACUGGAACUAAGCAACGGUCCAGACCCCUACGGGAGGCAGAAGUGGGGAAUAUUGCACAAUGGGGGCAAGCCUGAUGCAGCCAUGCCGCGUGUGUGAAGAAGGCCUUCGGGUUGUAAAGCACUUUCAGCGGGGAGGCGUUACUCGCAGAAGAAGCACCGGCUAACUCCGUGCCAGCCGCCGCGGUAAUAC
rnacentral:rRNA from 1 species